GCCCUGGUAGCUCAGCGGGAGAGCACCGGUUCGACAGACCGGGGGCCGCUGGUUCGAAUCCAGCUCGGGGCA
rnacentral:tRNA from 4 species